rnacentral:rRNA from 1 species
ACUCCUACGGGAGGCAGCAGUGGGGAAUAUUGCACAAUGGGGGAAACCCUGAUCCAGCCAUGCCGNGUGUGUGAAGAAGGCCUUCGGGUUGUAAAGCACUUUCAGGGGGAGGAAAGGCUGAUGGUUAAUACCUAUCAGCUGUGACGUUACCCACAGAAGAAGCACCGGCUAACUCCGUGCCAGCAGCCGCGGUAAUACGGAGGGUGCAAGCGUUAAUCGGAAUUACUGGGCGUAAAGCGUGCGCAGGCGGUCUGUUAAGCGAGAUGUGAAAGCCCC